UUGAUGCCUCUAUAAAUACACUUCUUCAUUUCGAAAAGGUCAUUAAGUUAUAGUUAUUGGUUUAUCUACUUGAAAAAAAAAAAAACUAUCUCUGUCCUCUUGUUCUUGACCAUACCAACCUUAUAUUCUUGGCCCAUCUAAGAUUCCAGGAAGCAGAACAAAUCACAGAAAAGUUGCAGAAAUUCUUCAACUUUCAUUCCUUCAUAAUCCAUUUCUUCUUUUUCUUAAGCACAUUCUUGCUGCAGUUAGCUGAAAGCAAGAAAUGAUAUUUAGAGCUUCGAGAAAAUCAAGAAAAGUGAGUUCUCCUACAAGACAAUGGUGCGGUGUUUCAGCAAAGUGAGUGUUGUUAUAUUAACAGCUUUAGCAGCAUCAAUGGCUGUGUUGCCAUUGUUGUUACCACCACUUCCUCCUCCACCACUGAUGUUUCUGUUCUUUCCAGUUGGAAUUAUGGCUGCUCUUAUGUUCUUGGCUUUCUCUCCCUCAGAUGCAGCUGCAAAUUUUGCCCUUUAUACUGUAUGAAGUUGUAGAAUAAGAUUUGAUUGUCAAGGACUUUCUAGUGCUGAUUUCGAGUUGUCUAAACAUGCUACUCCCUAAUGUUAAUUUCUAGCAACAUUUUCUUUUCUUGUACAAGUUUUGUAUCUCGGCUCUAGUUUUAUGGUUCACAGUUCUGUUUCUUCUCUAUAUUCUGCUUUUAAAUUCUGUGAAAUGGGUUCUUAAUUUUGAAUCUUCCAGGACUUCACAGUGGAAGAAAGUAAUUAAAAACGUAGAUUUUCGAUUGUAAUAAGACUAUUAGAGUGAAAUGAUUAUUAUAUCAAAAUGAUCUCCUCGGGGUUAAGGAAAUUAAAGAUUCUGAUCUGUGGUUUUGUCCUUGCUAAGUCAAGAAUGGGAAAAACAUGAAGCCAUUAUUUAAUAACAGCAUAGUUUGGAGCUCAAAUCUUAGCAAGUUUCACAAGAGGAAGGCCUAAGUCGUGAUGGAAGUUAAAACUCCAGAUAGACUGCACAAGAACAGGUCCAAUGGAAGUUUAAUGUAGGCAGCCUAAUUCAAGAAGACAGGAACAAGUUGAAGCAAGAGGUUCCUCGUGAAAGAAAUAGAAAAUUGGCAAGUGAACAAGUUGUCGUUAAAGAGAUCUGUGAUGCUAGCUUGAAAGGAGAUCAAGGCUGUCAAGUGCUUGCUUACAGUUUGAUUAUGGGAAAAUCAAAUCUGCAUCAUCAAACACGUACAAACAGAAAAAAAGAAAAGGAAAGAACCCGGCGUCAGUAUGAAGACAUAAAUUCUGGUAAAAUUGGUUCCUUUAAUGGGGGGUUUUAAUGCAAGGAAUUGUGCUUUAAGAAUUUUGAACAAAUUAUGAUUUGUGUAUUUUAUUUUGGGUGAUUAGUUUUGAUUAUUAGCUCGAUUUCAAGGAUUUCAACGAAUGAUAAUUGAAAUAGUUACUGUAUGUGCAUGAAUUUUGUUAAUUUUAGCUGUUAAUUGCCUAAAAUUUGUUAUAUUUAGUAUUCCUUGAAAUUUGUUUAUUUUUUAGGAAUUUGGGUAUAUAUUGCAUAGUUGCUGAGUAAAUGUAUUUGGAAUUUUCUUGCAAGAA